rnacentral:rRNA from 1 species
AUGAACGCUGGCGGCGUGCCUAAUACAUGCAAGUCGAGCGAACAGACGAGGAGCUUGCUCCUCUGACGUUAGCGGCGGACGGGUGAGUAACACGUGGAUAACCUACCUAUAAGACUGGGAUAAUUUCGGGAAACCGGAGCUAAUACCGGAUAAUAUAUUGAACCGCAUGGUUCAAUAGUGAAAGACGGUUUUGCUGUCACUUAUAGAUGGAUCCGCGCCGCAUUAGCUAGUUGGUAAGGUAACGGCUUACCAAGGCAACGAUGCGUAGCCGACCUGAGAGGGUGAUCGGCCACACUGGAACUGAGACACGGUCCAGACUCCUACGGGAGGCAGCAGUAGGGAAUCUUCCGCAAUGGGCGAAAGCCUUACGGAGCAACGCCGCGUGAGUGAUGAAGGUCUUCGGAUCGUAAAACUCUGUUAUUAGGGAAGAACAAAUGUGUAAGUAACUAUGCACGUCUUGACGGUACCUAAUCAGAAAGCCACGGCUAACUACGUG